GGCAAGAUGGCCGAGCGGUCUAAGGCGCCACGUUAAGGAGAUAUCCCCUAAUUCGCGGUGUAACAUCAUGUCACAUCACAUGAUUCCGUGGUCCGAAAGGGCGUGGGUUCGAAUCCCACUCUUGUCA